rnacentral:rRNA from 1 species
ACCUGGUUGAAUCCUGCA